rnacentral:tRNA from 1 species
GGCUCGGUAGCUUAGUUGGAAAAGCACUUGUCUAGCGUAUAAGGGUCGUGAGUUCAAAUCUCACCCAUUCUC